rfam:Gossypium arboreum cultivar AKA8401 contig_16883_1, whole genome shotgun sequence.
UAUUAAAAAUUUAUUUAUUUCUACUGUUAAAAACUGACGUGGUUGACGAAAUAAAUAAACAGUCACACAUAGCAUGCCACAUGUACCCCAUGUCAACAUACAAUCAGUUUUUAACAGUAAAAAUGAAUAAAAAUUUUAAUA